GAUGAAGAACGCAGCGAAAUGCGAUAAGUAAUGUGAAUUGCAGAAUUCAGUGAAUCAUCGAAUCUUCGAACGCACAUUGCGCCCCCUGGUAUUCCGGGGGGCAUGCCUGUUCGAGCGUCAUUUCACCACUCAAGCCUCGCUUGGUAUUGGGCAACGCGGUCCGCCGCGUGCCUCAAAUCGUCCGGCUGGGUCUUCUGUCCCCUAAGCGUUGUGGAAACUAUUCGCUAAAGGGUGUUCGGGAGGCUACGCCGUAAAACAACCCCAUUUCUAAGGUUGACCUCGGAUCAGGUAGGGAUACCCGCUGAACUUAAGCAUAUCAAUAAGCGGAGGA
rnacentral:misc_RNA from 1 species